UACGUAGGGGGGCUAGCGUUGUCCGGAAUCAUUGGGCGUAAAGCGCGUGUAGGCGGUCCGGUAAGUCCGCUGUGAAAGUCGGGGGGCUCAACCCUCGGAUGCCGGUGGAUACUGUCGGGCUUGAGUACGGAAGAGGCGAGUGGAAUUCCUGGUGUAGCGGUGAAAUGCGCAGAUAUCAGGAGGAACACCGGUGGCGAAGGCGGCAUCCUGGACCGGUAUUGACGCUGCAGCGCGAAAGCUAGGGGAGCAAACGGG
rnacentral:rRNA from 1 species